GAUGAACGCUAGCGGCAGGCCUAACACAUGCAAGUCGAGGGGUAGAGUUAGCUUGCUAACUUGAGACCGGCGCACGGGUGCGUAACGCGUAUGCAAUCUACCCUGUAGAGGGGGAUAGCCCAGAGAAAUUUGGAUUAAUACCCCAUAGUAUAAUAGAGUGGCAUCAUUUUAUUAUUAAAGUUCCAACGCUACAAGAUGAGCAUGCGUCCCAUUAGUUAGUUGGUGUGGUAACGGCGCACCAAGACGAUGAUGGGUAGGGGUCCUGAGAGGGAGAUCCCCCACACUGGUACUGAGACACGGACCAGACUCCUACGGGAGGCAGCAGUGAGGAAUAUUGGUCAAUGGACGCAAGUCUGAACCAGCCAUGCCGCGUGCAGGAAGAAGGCUCUAUGGGUUGUAAACUGCUUUUGUACGGGAAGAAAUUAUCCCUCGUGAGGGAGCUUGACGGUACCGUAAGAAUAAGG
rnacentral:rRNA from 1 species